rnacentral:rRNA from 1 species
GACGAACGCUGGCGGCGUGCUUAACACAUGCAAGUCGAACGGAAAGGCCCUGCUUUUGUGGGGUGCUCGAGUGGCGAACGGGUGAGUAACACGUGAGUAACCUGCCCUUGACUUUGGGAUAACUUCAGGAAACUGGGGCUAAUACCGGAUAGGAGCUCCUGCUGCAUGGUGGGGGUUGGAAAGUUUCGGCGGUUGGGGAUGGACUCGCGGCUUAUCAGCUUGUUGGUGGGGUAGUGGCUUACCAAGGCUUUGACGGGUAGCCGGCCUGAGAGGGUGACCGGCAACAAUGGGACUGAGAUACGGCCCAGACUCCUACGGGAGGCAGCAAUGGGGAAUAUUGCACAAUGGGCGGAAGCCUGAUACAGCAACGCCGCGUGCGGGAUGACGGCCUUCGGGUUGUAAACCGCUUUCGCCUGUGACGAAGCGUGAGUGACGGUAAUGGGUAAAGAAGCACCGGCUAACUACGUG